rnacentral:sRNA from 1 species
GCGCCGCCGACGCCCGCCCUCCCGCAGAGCCCUCCGCCGACCUCUUGGUGAACCUGAGCCGCUGCCGACGCCUCAUCGUGGUGCUUUCGGACGCCUUCCUGAGCCGGGCCUGGUGCAGCCACAGCUUCCGGUGGGUCCCGCGCGAGGUUGGGUGGGCCCCAGCUUAGCACCCACCCCCCUGACGGUCCCGCCCCGCAGGGAGGGCCUGUGCCGGCUGCUGGAGCUCACCCGCAGACCCAUCUUCAUCACCUUCGAGAGCCAGAGGCGCGACCCCGCGCACCCGGCGCUCCGCCUGCUGCGCCAGCACCGCCACCUGGUGACCUUGCUGCUCUGGAGGCCCGGCUCCGUGACUCCUUCCUCCGAUUUUUGGAAAGAAGUGCAGCUGGCGCUGCCGCGGAAGGUGCGGUACAGGCCGGUGGAAGGAGACCCCCAGACGCAGCUGCAGGACGACAAGGACCCCAUGCUGAUUCUUCGAGGCCGAGUCCCGGAGGGCCGGGCCCUGGACUCAGAGGUGGACCCGGACCCUGAGGGCGACCUGGGUGUCCGGGGGCCUGUCUUUGGAGAGCCAUCAGCUCCACCGCACACCAGUGGGGUCUCGCUGGGAGAGAGCCGGAGCAGCGAAGUGGACGUCUCGGAUCUCGGCUCGCGAAACUACAGUGCCCGCACAGACUUCUACUGCCUGGUGUCCAAGGAUGAUAUGUAGCUCCCAUCCCAGAGUGCCGGAUCAUAGGGACAGUGGGGGCCAGGGCAGCGGCGUCGCUCCUCUGCUCAACAGGACCACAACCCCUGCCAGCAGCCCUGGGACCCUGCCAGCAGCCCUGGGAAAAGGCUGUGGCCUCAGGGCGCCUCCCAGUGCCAGAAAAUAAAGUCC